AAAGUCGUAACAAGGUUUCCGUAGGUGAACCUGCGGAAGGAUCAUUCAAAAUAAAAGUGUUUUAUGGCACUUUUAAAACAAUCCAUAUCCACCUUGUGUGCAAUGUUUUUUUUAUUAUCAACUCUUUAUUUUAACUUAUUUUGUCUGAAAUAUAUUAUGAAUAACUUAAUUCAAAAAAUAUAACUUUCAACAACGGAUCUCUUGGCUCUC
rnacentral:misc_RNA from 1 species